rnacentral:rRNA from 1 species
UACGGGGAGGCAGCAGUGGGGAAUAUUGGACAAUGGGCGCAAGCCUGAUCCAGCAAUGCCGCGUGUGUGAAGAAGGCCUUCGGGUUGUAAAGCUCUUUUAUCAGGAAAGAAAUCCUGCCGGUUAAUACCCGGCGGGGAUGACGGUACCUGAGGAAUAAGCACCGGCUAACUUCGUGCCAGCAGCCGCGGUAAUACGAAGGGUGCAAGCGUUAAUCGGAAUUACUGGGCGUAAAGGGUGCGUAGGCGGCCUGUUAAGUCAGAUGUGAAAGCCCUGGGCUCAACCUGGGAAUGGCAUUUGAGACUGGGAGGCUGGAGUGCGGUAGAGGGUGGUGGAAUUCCCGGUGUAGCGGUGAAAUGCGUAGAGAUCGGGAGGAACAUCGAUGGCGAAGGCAGCCACCUGGACCAGCACUGACGCUGAGGCACGAAAGCGUGGGGAGCAAACAGGAUUAGAUACCCUGGUAGUCCACGCCCUAAACGAUGCGAACUGGAUGUUGGGCUCACUUAGGAGUUCAG